AUUGAACGCCGGCGGCAUGCCUUACACAUGCAAGUCGAACGGUAACAGAUCUUCGGAUGCUGACGAGUGGCGAACGGGUGAGUAGUACAUCGGAACGUGCCUAGUAGUGGGGGAUAACUACUCGAAAGAGUGGCUAAUACCGCAUGAGAUCUACGGAUGAAAGCAGGGGAUCGCAAGACCUUGUGCUACUAGAGCGGCCGAUGGCAGAUUAGGUAGUUGGUGGGAUAAAAGCUUACCACGCCGACGAUCUGUAGCUGGUCUGAGAGGACGAUCAGCCACACUGGGACUGAGACACGGCCCAGACUCCUACGGGAGGCAGCAGUGGGGAAUUUUGGACAAUGGGCGCAAGCCUGAUCCAGCAAUGCCGCGUGCAGGAUGAAGGCCUUCGGGUUGUAAACUGCUUUUGUACGGAACGAAAAGCCCUGGGUUAAUACCCUGGGGUCAUGACGGUACCGUAAGAAUAAGCACCGGCUAACUACGUGCCAGCCGCCGCAGUAACAC
rnacentral:rRNA from 1 species